rnacentral:rRNA from 1 species
UUAAGCAUAUCAAUAAGCGGAGGAAAAGAAACUAACAAGGAUUCCCCUAGUAGCGGCGAGCGAAGCGGGAAGAGCUCAAAUUUAUAAUCUGGCACCUUCGGUGUCCGAGUUGUAAUCUCUAGAAGUGUUUUCCGCGUUGGACCGCACACAAGUCUGUUGGAAUACAGCGGCAUAGUGGUGAAACCCCCGUAUAUGGUGCGGACGCCCAGCGCUUUGUGAUACACUUUCAAUGAGUCGAGUUGUUUGGGAAUGCAGCUCAAAUUGGGUGGUAAAUUCCAUCUAAAGCUAAAUAUUGGCGAGAGACCGAUAGCGAACAAGUACCGUGAGGGAAAGAUGAAAAGCACUUUGGAAAGAGAGUUAACAGUACGUGAAAUUGUUGGAAGGGAAACGCUUGAAGUCAGACUUGCUUGCCGGAGCUUGCUUCGGUUUGCAGGCCAGCAUCAGUUUUCCGGGGUGGAUAAUGACGGUUUGAAGGUAGCAGUCUCGGCUGUGUUAUAGCUUUCCGUUGGAUACGCCCUGGGGGACUGAGGAACGCAGCGUGCUUUUUGCGAAAGACUCGUCUUUUUCACGCUUAGGAUGCUGGUGGAAUGGCUUUAAACGACCCGUCUUGAAACACGGACCAAGGAGUCUAACAUGCUCGCGAGUAUUUGGGUGUCAAACCCGGAUGCGCAAUGAAAGUGAAUGUAGGUGGGAACCGCAAGGUGCACCAUCGACCGAUCUGGAUUUUUUAAGAUGGAUUUGAGUAAGAGCGCGUAUGUUGGGACCCGAAAGAUGGUGAACUAUGCCUGAAUAGGGCGAAGCCAGAGGAAACUCUGGUGGAGGCUCGUAGCGGUUCUGACGUGCAAAUCGAUCGUCAAAUUUGGGUAUAGGGGCGAAAGACUAAUCGAACCAUCUAGUAGCUGGUUCCUGCC